rnacentral:rRNA from 1 species
UACGUAGGCAGCGAGCGUUGUUCGGAGUUACUGGGCGUAAAGGGUGUGUAGGCGGUUGUUUAAGUUUGGUGUGAAACUCUCCCGGCUCAACUGGGAGGGUGCGCCGAAUACUGAAUGACUUGGAGUGCGGGAGAGGAGAGUGGAAUUCCUGGUGUAGCGGUGAAAUGCGUAGAUAUCAGGAGGAACACCGGUGGUGUAGACGGCUCUCUGGACCGUAACUGACGCUGAGACACGAAAGCGUGGGUAGCAAACAGG